AUUGAACGCUGGCGGCAUGCCUUACACAUGCAAGUCGAACGGCAGCGGCGGGGCAACCUGGCGGCGAGUGGCGAACGGGUGAGUAAUAUAUCGGAACGUACCCUGGAGUGGGGGAUAACGUAGCGAAAGUUACGCUAAUACCGCAUACGAUCUAAGGAUGAAAGUGGGGGAUCCGCAAGGCCUCAUGCUCCUGGAGCCGGCCGAUAUCUGAUUAGCUAGUUGGUGGGGAAAGGCCUACCAAGGCAUCGAUCAGUAGCUGGUCUGAGAGGACGACCAGCCACACUGGGACUGAGACACGGCCCAGACUCCGUACGGGAGGCAGCAGU
rnacentral:rRNA from 1 species